GUUCGCGCGCCGCUCUCGACACAGCCAGCUACCUUCUCCGCUGCAACGGGCCUCGCUGCUCCUCUCGAAGACCGACGCCCUGCACGUCUUUUGCCUGAGUGACAACUCGACCGAGCAGCCUAGUGACAAUUAUGGAACGAAGCACCAUGUCUGCUUUCGAAGCCUAUACGGCGAAGUCAGAAUUAUCAUCCGCAACAA